rnacentral:lncRNA from 1 species
GUUCGCCAUUUUGCACGUGUACGAAACAGUGUUUACCAUUCUGGGAAAUGAGGAUAUAUGACUGCCAAUCCAAGAUCACAUCGCAGAAAACAGUAGAUCGUGUCAUCAAACGAUGCCAAUAGAUCAUCAUUGGAGCUAUGCUGUGAAAAGCCUUUCUUCUUAUCCAUGGAGGUCAUAAAUCUUAUGGACAAAUCUUGAUAGGUUGCUUGUGGACUAUCCAUUGAUUGGUCUCCAUCAUAUAUCUUAUGGGCAAGCUUUGUUAAUGGACCUUAGAGAAGCAUUAGUAAUGGACUGUUAGGCAAGCUUGGUAUGUGGCCUGUGAACAUUUUUUGAUAUAUGGCCUGUGGACAAGCCUUGGCAAAUAACCUGUGGACAAGUCUUCAUGGACAUUGGGAAACAGUGGAUCUCAUAUAAUAAGAGGAAAGUGGAUGAGGCAGAAUAGCAAGUGGUAAACCAGAGAGUUUAAUUACCUCAGAGUUUUCAUGAAGACAGCUGUGCUGCUCAAGGUGUGGUAUUGCAACAAAUUUGGAGAUACCACAGAGGCUUGAGGAGCAAACUCUCACUUCCUUUCCUGGACAAGCCUUGGUUGGUAGCCUGUGGACAAGCCUUGAUUGGUAGCCUGUGGACAAGCCUUGGUUGGUAGCCAAUGGACAAGCCUUGGUUGGUAGCCUGUGGACAAGCCCUGGAACAAAGCUGUGGACAAAUUUUUUACUGACAGUGGUGAAUCCUGGAUUGUGGAUGAGAGUGGUUACUGGAUAAGGCUGGAUAAGAAAGUGGUGAACCAGAGAGUUGAAAGCUAUAGAUACGAUGCAACAGAUCUGCCAAAUGAAAGCAUCACAACUGGACAGCACAAUAUUAGCAAGAACAUGGACCCAUCUUGGUAGAAGAACCUUGACAAUUCACCCUGGAAGCAAGUACAGGAUUAGUUAUCAUAAUUAUUUCCAUUAAUGCUAGAUUAUAUUUUAAGCCCAGCCUGGAAUGUCAUUGAAUGUGGGGUGCAGCUGGCCCAGGGUUUUCCUCCUAGGUGUAAGUGGACAUAUGGGGAGGUUUUUCACCCAGCUGUUGUUCCACCACCCCCACUCAUUAAGGUUUUUUUUUCCUACACAUGUAGUUCAUAAUAAUGGAAAGUGUGUGUGCCCCAGUUGUUCAAACAAGUGCUUUUGGGGUCUCAGGUUCCAGGGCUUAGGUUUUUGGGUCUCAGUUUUUAUUGAAUCUCAGGUCUUAGAGCUUGGGUUUCUGGGUCAUAGGAUUUUCAGGUCCUGGGUUUUUUCGGUGGUAAGUUUUUUGGGUCUUAGGUUAUUUUGAGUUUUGGUUAAACUGCCUUAGUAGAUUUUUAUUGAAUGUCCACUCUAAGAGCUUUGGUUUCUGGGUCAUAGGAUUUUCAGGUUUUGGGUUUUUUAGGUCAUGGUGAGUUUUUAGGUUUUUAGGUUUUUAGGUUUUUGGGGGCUCAGGGUUGAUGGCUUAGGUUUAAAGGUCUCUCUGGGUCAUGGGAUAUUUGGGUACUGGGUUUUCUGAGUGGUGGGUUUUUUGGGUCUUAGAUUUCUUUGGGUUCAGGUUUAAUGGGCUAGGUAUUUGGGACUUGGUUUUUAUUAAAUCUCAGGUCAAUAGGUUUCUGGCUCAAACCAUUUUCAGGGUCUUGGUUUUUUUUGGGUGGUAAGCUCUUGGUUCUUAUAAUUGUUUGGGUUCAGGUUUAAUGGGCUUAGGUUUAUGGGUCUUGGUUUCUUUUCUUUUUUUUUUUGCUUAUUAGGAUUUUCUGGUCUCAAGUUUCUUAGUCAUAAAUGUUUUCAGUGGUACAUUUUUCAGGUCUCAGAUAUAUCGGGGUCCUUCAAGUUUUUGCCUCUCAAGUUUUAAGGGUUUCAGGUUCAAGGUACUUUGGCUUUUUGGUUCCGGGUUUUUGUGGUCUUGGGCUUUUCAGGCCCUGGGUAUUUAAGGGUCUAAGGUCUUUCGGGUCAGGCUUUUUGGGUUGUAGGAUUUUUCAGUCUUCAGUCCCUAAGGUUCUUAGAUCUUGGGUCAGGCUUUUUUGGGAUCUCUGUUUUUUUCAGUCUUUGUUCUCUGGUAUCUUAGGCUUUUCAACCCUUAGGCAUUUCAGGGUUCAAGGUCUUUUGGGUCAGGCUUUUUGGGUCUCAGGUUUUUUCAAUCUUAAGGUU